UGACACCGGCCUCAAAGACGUCAAGGGACCUGUGCCUCACACCAUUCCCACGUGGCAGGAUGGGCCCUGGCAUCCCAGCCGAGUGGAGCUACUUUAAGGACCCCUGAAGAACUUGGAUCAGGAACGUUUUCUUUACGUGCGAGGACCGCGGUGUCAAGCGGCACACACUCACAAGACCUUCGCACGCCCAGAGAACUUCAACAACUGGGCAACAGAGAGGUUUCUGCUAAAACCACCCGCAGGACCAGAGAGGGCGGACUCGUCGCGAGUGCCCGACCCAGAGGCCAGCUCGGCCCUGCCCACGGUGACAGCCAGACGGGCCACUCCCCGCUGCGUGCCCCUCGGCGACUCUGGGGAGGUGUUUCCUCUCAUCUUCUGUUGCGGGUUGGCGUGUUUAUGACCUGACCCCUGGUGCCCGCGAAUGUGACAUUAUCUGGACACAGGGUCCCCGCCAACCAGCAGGUCGUGCUGGAGUGGGGUGGGCUCCUCAUCCAACCAAUGGUGUCCUUGUAAGAGAAAACGGGGACACAGAGACCCACACGGGGAGAACAUCCCUGGGGAGGCAGAGCCCGGGGCGCCCACCACCCGCUCGGAGAGCGGUAGGGGACAGGUUCUCCCUCGGGACCAUCCAACCUGCCAGCACCUGGAUUUCAGACUUCUGGCCUCCAGAGCCUCGAGACAGUACAUUCCUGUCACUUUAAGCUACCCGGUUUGUGGUACUUAGCUACCGCAGCCCUGGGACAAAAAUACAUCUUUCUCAGCUACC